UCAAACUUUAUCUCAAAAAGCGCGGGUGCACUACAUUAUGGAAUGGAGGAAUUACAACAUUAUGCAUUUGACAUGGCAAGAUAUUUUUAUCAACCAUAAUGUAUGCACUAUUGAUAGACAUGAGAUGGUUAUCAGUAACCUCAAAAGAUGCAUAAUUUCCUUAUCAAUGCUGCACCUUAAGGCCAAAACUCAGCAACCUGAACAGAUAAGACCAUGCUCAUCAUAUAACUCAAUUUACUGACAUAACAUAUGGUGUAAUAACAAAAGAUGAAGCUAAAACUUUUGAAAUCCCUACCAUCUUUUAAGAGCUAAACUUUUCUAUUAGUUGUGAACUUCCAUUUGAUAUUUCUCAAAUUUGUGUUUUUUUAAGAUUAACACAUGCAAAGCAAAGUUUAGUAUUCAGAACUGGAACUCUGCAAUUUUAGAGAAAAGUUUAAUAACUAAAGCUUGAGAAACAAAUGCGGUUAUAAAUACAUGACACACAAAGUUCAGUACAAUUCUGAACUAUGGGGGUUGUAAGUUUUAUUUCCAAAGCAUGACACACGACUUCUAAGCUUCCUAUCAUUGUCAUUUUUUUGAAAAUACAGAAAAUAACAUACCUGGAUUUUUUUCUAUGAAAUAGGGACGGUAAGACUUCCCCCAAAAUUAUCUGUGCACAACAUCUGAUGGAAGGCCCGGCAGUCAGCAAACAACACUUAGGGAGGAAGCGCAUAGAUCGUCAGUGUCACACCAUAUAUAGCUCAGUUAGUUGGCAUGUACUGUCAUACUUGACAUGUUAAUAUUUAGUAGAUCCAUCCAUUAUAUUGGUAUAUCCUCCAACUGCAGUAUGUGCAAUAAGGAAUGAUCAAAAGAGUGAAUGAAUCACGUACAUACUAUACGUCCAACUGGAAUUGGAACCUAGUGUGCUGUCUUGGCAACAUCGCAUUGUUCCAACUUCCAAGGGAACCCAUCAGCCUCCCAUACGUUGUCACAAAGGAACCCCGUCUCCAUUUGCUCCAUGCCUUCUUUGCUAGCGCCAUCAUCAAAGCCUCAUCGACCCUCGGCAAGUGCACAUGCUACAACCAUGUCCGACACCGCCAGCACUGCUGCACUCGCAUAGAACCUGACCUCAGGCGUUGCUGUAGAGGAAUCAACCGUUCAUUCUUCUAGCAGUUGUCCCAAGCUGUAGCUAGCAUUGUAUAGAGAUUAGAAGGUUAGAAGAAAUAACGUGAAUGUAAUCUUAACCAAGUAAACAGUCACAUUAAUACUUAUCUAACACCGCCAAGGAUAACUUCACUAAAAAGCAAUCUUUGCAGUGCAACUUGUAAACGCAACUAUCAUCUGUUUUGUUAUAUGGGUUAUAUCACUCAUGUUCAUUUUUGGCAAGAUUCAAAUAUCAGAAAAUAGCUUCAUUCAAAAUUACAGUUCUGAAGAAUUUCCAUGUUAUACAGAGAAUUACUAAUCUCAUAGAUACUCUGUUGCAUUAGCAAAACACAAGUGCACAUUUACUGCCUUCUAGGAUCACAACCGGAGAUAGACACAUUAAAUAAAAUACUUAAAAGCGGAUAAUCUCUACAAAAUGCGCACUUCGGCAAGAUGUUACAAAAUGCCCGUGCGUUAUAACAAAAGCGAAUGAAGCGGAUAAUUCUACUGAUGAAUUAUAAAAUUCCUGCAAUUUGAUGCUCACUUCGGCAACAAAUACUUAAAAGCGGAUAAUUAACUAAAAGGUGAAGCAGAAGCAUGAACUGCUAACCGUUACUUGAUGACCUAUCUACACAAUUGAGAGAGUCUGUAUGUAGUAUUAUGCCUAUCAAUAUCACAAAGAUGGAUGUGUACUUUCCUUGCUCCUAGACCAUGAACUAAAUUGAUAUAAUUUUCUUGUCUUCCUCCCUUCGUCUUGCAUGGAACCAAGCAUUACUCAUACUCCAUUUUUACACAACUGAAAUAAAUAAUCAGAUAAAAGUCUGAACAACUUCCCACAAAAUAAAAGGGC
rnacentral:lncRNA from 1 species